GAAACUUUGGGAAUUUAUUCAUGGCUUUCUAGGGUUCGGCAUUUCUAUUGUUGAUUAAGAUCAAGAACCAAAGAAAUCGGAGCUUGAUCGGGGAAAAACCAAAAUUUUUGACUAAUUAUCCGAUUUCAAUUUUUCACUGUCCGAGAUUUUGGAGUCGCGUUACGAGCUCGGGGAUCAUCAGCAUAGUCUAUCAUAAUAUAUAAAUAGCCAUGGGAAAAUAGUUUAAUUUAC